rnacentral:rRNA from 1 species
CCGCCUGGGGAGUACGGCCGCAAGGUUAAAACUCAAAUGAAUUGACGGGGGCCCGCACAAGCGGUGGAGCAUGUGGUUUAAUUCGAUGCAACGCGAAGAACCUUACCUGGUCUUGACAUCCACGGAACUUUCCAGAGAUGGAUUGGUGCCUUCGGGAACCGUGAGACAGGUGCUGCAUGGCUGUCGUCAGCUCGUGUUGUGAAAUGUUGGGUUAAGUCCCGCAACGAGCGCAACCCUUAUCCUUUGUUGCCAGCGGUCCGGCCGGGAACUCAAAGGAGACUGCCAGUGAUAAACUGGAGGAAGGUGGGGAUGACGUCAAGUCAUCAUGGCCCUUACGACCAGGGCUACACACGUGCUACAAUGGCGCAUACAAAGAGAAGCGACCUCGC